rnacentral:hammerhead_ribozyme from 1 species
AGUUAGCUGACGAGUCCCAAACAGGACGAAAUGUGCAUCCUGGAU